rnacentral:lncRNA from 12 species
AGCGGUUUGGCGCUGCCUUUGGCCCGGGGUGUGACCCUGGAGACCCAGGAUCGAGUCCCAUGUUGGGCUCCCUGCAUGGAGCCUGCUUCUCCCUCUGCCUGUGUCUCUGCCUCUCUCUCUCUCUCUCUCUGUGUCUCUCGUGGAUAAAUAAAUAAAAUCUUUAAAAAAAAUAAAGCUGCAAAACAUGCACUGGCUUUUUUGUCAACCCUUAAAACAUCACAGUUUCCUUUAGGCCCAGUAUUAGCAUUUUUUAAUCUAUAAGGAGUUUCUCUUGACCUCAGAGAGACCCUGGGUAUGACCAUGAAGCCAUCAGAUUGACGGUCGGGAGCAACCGGUUUGGGUUUCCAUCUACUGGAGGAAUUAUUCAACGAGCUGUGUUUGACCAUCUUGACAGUCCUGUGAGGUUGGUACUGUUACCAGCCUCACUUCACAGACGGGCAUACAGACACCUUGCUCAGGAUCACAGCUAGAAACUCGUGGAGUUGGGGUACAAAUUCAAGCUGGUCUACCAUCAAAGCAUCUUUCCUUUUUUUUUAUUUUUAAAGAUUUUAUUUAUUUAUUCAUGAGAGAUACAAAGAGAGAGGCAGAAACAUAGGCUGAGGGAGACCACUACCAACAGCUCAUCCCUCCCCUGCAGGGAGCCCGAUGCGGGCCUCGAUCCCAGGACCCUGGGAUCACGCCCUGAGCCAAAGGCAGACACCCAACCACUGAGCCACCCAGGCGUCCCUCAAAGCAUCUUUCCAUGCUUCUGUUAUUAAUGAUAACAUGGCCCAUCAUUUUAUAGCUAACCCUGCACUUAUUCAUCCACCAUGGGCACCUGUGAUCAUCUUCCUGGUGGUACCAACCUCUACUCCGGCCCCCUCCCAGGGAUGGUCUCACAGGAGCUGUCAGCUAUUAGUUCCUCUUGUUCCCGAUGGCUGUUAAAUCAUACUCAAGAAAAGAACACCUGAUGUUAGUUCUCUGGGGUUUUGGAAAGUAAAUUUCAGAAUAGGUAAGUUUGACUCUUCUUGGCACCCUUUUUUUUUUUUUUUAUGAUAGUCACACAGAGAGAGAGAGAGAGAGGCAGAGACACAGG